UUGGUUUAGUAAGGACGACGUCAUU
rnacentral:piRNA from 1 species